GUGAAGAUUUGGGCAGGCUGUUGCUAGUCCUCCUAGGACAUGUGCACGUCUGUCGUCUUUAUUUUCUCCAACUGUGCACGUAUUGUAGACCUGUUGUUCGUUUUUAUCGUUGGGAUAGAUUGAGGACUGCUGUGCUUUGUUGAACAGCUUUGCCUUUUGAAUCUCCAGGUCUAUGUUUCUACAUUUUUACAAAUGUGUUUUAGAAUGUUGAGUACUGGGGAUAACAAAUAUA
rnacentral:misc_RNA from 1 species